rnacentral:rRNA from 1 species
AGAACGAACGCUGGCGGCAUGCCUAAUACAUGCAAGUCGAACGAACUCUUCGGAGUUAGUGGCGCACGGGUGCGUAACGCGUGGGAAUCUGCCCUUGGGUUCGGAAUAACAGUUGGAAACGACUGCUAAUACCGGAUGAUGACGAAAGUCCAAAGAUUUAUCGCCCAGGGAUGAGCCCGCGUAGGAUUAGCUAGUUGGUGAGGUAAAGGCUCACCAAGGCGACGAUCCUUAGCUGGUCUGAGAGGAUGAUCAGCCACACUGGGACUGAGACACGGCCCAGACUCCUACGGGAGGCAGCAGUAGGGAAUAUUGGACAAUGGGCGAAAGCCUGAUCCAGCAAUGCCGCGUGAGUGAUGAGGCCUUAGGGUUGUAAAGCUUCUUUACCCGAGAUGAUAAUGACAGUAUCGGAAGAAGUUAACGCCCCGGCUAACCUCCGUGCCAGCAGCCCGUAC